rnacentral:rRNA from 1 species
AUUGAACGCUGGCGGCAUGCUUUACACAUGCAAGUCGAACGGCAGCGCGGGCUUCGGCCUGGCGGCGAGUGGCGAACGGGUGAGUAAUGCAUCGGAACGUGCCCAGUAGUGGGGGAUAGCCCGGCGAAAGCCGGAUUAAUACCGCAUACGACCUGAGGGUGAAAGCGGGGGACCGAAAGGCCUCGCGCUAUUGGAGCGGCCGAUGUCGGACUAGCUAGUUGGUGGGGUAAAGGCUUACCAAGGCGACGAUCCGUAGCUGGUCUGAGAGGACGACCAGCCACACUGGGACUGAGACACGGCCCAGACUCCUACGGGAGGCAGCAGUGGGGAAUUUUGGACAAAGGGGGCAACCCUGAUCCAGCCAUGCCGCGUGCGGGAAGAAGGCCUUCGGGUUGUAAACCGCUUUUGUUCGGGAAGAAAUCCUCUGGGCUAAUACCCCGGGGGGAUGACGGUACCGGAAGAAUAAGCACCGGCUAACUACGUG